rnacentral:rRNA from 1 species
UACGGGGGGGGCAAGCGUUGUUCGGAAUUACUGGGCGUAAAGGGCUCGUAGGCGGCCAACUAAGUCAGACGUGAAAUCCCUCGGCUUAACCGGGGAACUGCGUCUGAUACUGGAUGGCUAGAGGGUGGUAGAGGCGAGUGGAAUUCCUGGUGUAGCGGUGAAAUGCGCAGAUAUCAGGAGGAACACCGGUGGCGAAGGCGGGUCUCUGGGCCGAUACUGACGCUGAGGAGCGAAAGCGUGGGGAGCGAACAGG